CCAGACUCCUACGGGAGGCAGCAGUGAGGGAUAUUGGUCAAUGGGGGGAACCCUGAACCAGCAACGCCGCGUGAGGGAAGACGGUUUUCGGAUUGUAAACCUCUGUCCUCUGUGAAGAUAAUGACGGUACCUGACUAAGAAGCCCCGGCUAACUACGUGCCAGCAGCCGCGGUAAUACGUAGGGGGCAAGCGUUAUCCGGAUUUACUGGGUGUAAAGGGGGCGCAGACGGCAGCGCAAGCCAGGAGUGAAAGGCCGGGGCCCAACCCCGGGACUGCAUUGGAAACUGCGAGGCUGGAGUGUCGGAGAGGCAGGCGGAAUUCCUAGUGUAGCGGUGAAAUGCGUAGAUAUCAGGAGGAACACCGGUGGCGAAGGCGGCCUGCUGGACUGCAACUGACGUUGAGGCCCGAAAGCGUGGGGAGCAAACAGGAUUAGAUACCCCCGUAU
rnacentral:rRNA from 1 species